rnacentral:rRNA from 1 species
UGGGGAAUAUUGCACAAUGGGCGCAAGCCUGAUGCAGCCAUGCCGCGUGUAUGAAGAAGGCCUUCGGGUUGUAAAGUACUUUCAGCGAGGAGGAAGGCGGUAAGGUUAAUAACCUUAUCGAUUGACGUUACUCGCAGAAGAAGCACCGGCUAACUCCGUGCCAGCAGCCGCGGUAAUACGGAGGGUGCAAGCGUUAAUCGGAAUUACUGGGCGUAAAGCGCACGCAGGCGGUCUGUCAAGUCGGAUGUGAAAUCCCCGGGCUCAACCUGGGAACUGCAUUCGAAACUGGCAGGCUAGAGUCUUGUAGAGGGGGGUAGAAUUCCUGGUGUAGCGGUGAAAUGCGUAGAGAUCUGGAGGAAUACCGGUGGCGAAGGCGGCCCCCUGGACAAAGACUGACGCUCAGGUGCGAAAGCGUGGGGAGCAAACA